GAGAGCACCCAGAGGGAGGGAAGAAACAAGAUCAAAGGAACCUGCUGACCAAGUGACCACAGAUGUACUCUUUCCCCUGCAGCCAUUUUUCAUGAUUUACCAGAAGAGCCAGUACAGGUUGCAUCCCAGUGCGGGGUCAGGACUGCAUACCAAGGUGACUGAAGAACUUGGCAACUAUUGUGUGAGAGUCUUCCACAUGAAGGGGUCAUGGAGAGCAACUAAGCUGUAGCACUGCUUGGCAGAAUUGAAGCUUGCAUGCAGAAAGGCUAUUGGUGAAGGUGCAACAUCAGUUGCAGUGGAGACUCCAGAAUAUUUGAGAUUCCAGGCCUGUUGGAUGGCUGCCAAGGACAGCAGGAGCUGUGAAGGGGAGCUGUCCUGAACAUAUGAGGCAGAUUGCGUGUGUUGUGGAUGGCAGAGCCAGCAAAACAACCCAACAAAAUGACAAAAAAUGACAAGAAACACCAAACCAUAAGAAAACAGCAGCAACACACUGGAGCCUACUCUGGAAUUUGAUUGAUAUCUACUUAAAUGUGGCCAUUUCACUGAAGAAAAGAAAUUUAACCUCUCCAAGCAAGAAUCCAUUUCAAUUAGCUUGUUGGCUAGUGGUAGAACUUUAUGACCACUUUCCCUUCUCUGUGCUGGGAUUUUUGUCUGGCCUGAGCCUGUACAGGUCUUGUGUAAGCUGUCACAGUCUAUGUGAGUUCAUAUGUGCAUCAUCCCCACUGUGUCUGGAAAAUACUGUCUCCCUGGAGUCUUCCACCACCUCUGACUCUUACGAUCUUUCUGCCUCCCCUUUUGCACUGAUCACUGAUAUAGAAAUAUGUCAUU